ACCUUCUCAGUUGUGCCUGCAGUGCCUCUGGGUUAGAGCAUUAGCUUUUCUUCAAAAGCGUUUUGGCAUUUUUAAGAUACAUAAAUAUGGCCAACAUGACUAGUGAUGAACUUUUAAAACUUUUUACUCAGUUUGCUAUAAAAGAGGGUAGUACCCAUCUGCUCUCCAUGACAGGACUUAACAACUUGCUUCAGACUCAUUUCUCAAAUCUUUUGGGUUCAUUCUCUCUCAGUGAUAUCGCCAAAUAUGUGCAAGUAGAUAAAGAAGGAAAAAUCAGCUUUGAUGUUUUUCAAACAUUGAUCAGCAAGAUGAAUGGACUGUCUAGUUUGAGUGCAUUGGCAAGUCUGGUCUCCUAACAUCCCAUGAAGAAUAAGAACACAAAGGGAGGAGAAACCUUUGUGGCAGCUGAAUUACGUAUGCCUUUGCACAAAAAAAAUCUAUUUUUAAAUAAAUUUAGCAAUUGAGAAAAUAGAGAUAUCAUUUAAUAAACAUCUACUUUGUUUUAAAA